AAAAAAAUCACUUAGGGAUCUUGUCAAAAUGCAGAGUUUGAUUUAGUAGGUCCCGGUCCUGAAAUUCUGCUUUUCUAAUAAGCUCCCAAUUGAUGCUGAU
rnacentral:pre_miRNA from 1 species